rnacentral:rRNA from 1 species
GAUGAACGCUGGCGGCGUGCCUAAUACAUGCAAGUCGAGCGAACGGACGCGAAGCUUGCUCCUCUGAUGUUAGUGGCGGACGGGUGAGUAACACGUGGGUAACCUACCUAUAAGACUGGGAUAAAUUCGGGAAACCGGAGCUAAAACCGGAUAAUUUUUUGAACCGCAUGGUUUAAAAGUGAAAAAAGGUCCUGCUGUCACCUAUAGAUGGAUCCGCGCUGCAUUAGCUAGUUGGUAAGGUAACGGCUUACCAAGGCAACGAUGCAUAGCCGACCUGAGAGGGUGAUCGGCCACACUGGAACUGAGACACGGUCCAGACUCCUACGGGAGGCAGCAGUAGGGAAUCUUCCGCAAUGGGCGAAAGCCUGACGGAGCAACGCCGCGUGAGUGAUGAAGGUCUUCGGAUCGUAAAACUCUGUUAUUAGGGAAGAACAUAUGUGUAAGUAACUGUUCACAUCUUGACGGUACCUAAUCAGAAAGCCACGGCUAACUACGUG